GACGAACGCUGGCGGCGUGCCUAAUACAUGCAAGUCGAACGCAGUGGGGACGGGUGAGUAACACGUGGGUAACCUCCCAUCAGAGGGGAUAACACUUGGAAACAGGUGCUAAACCGAUACUGAUGGAUGGACCCGCGGUGCAUUAGCUAGUUGGUGAGGUAACGGCUCACCAAGGCCACGAUGCAUAGGCGACCUGGCAGGGUGAUCGGCAAAACUGGGACGGGGAGACGGCCCAGACUGCUAAGGGUGGCAACAGUAGGGAAGCUUCCGAAAUGGACGAGAGUAUGACGGAGCAACGCCGCGUGAGUGAGGACGGCCUUCGGGUUGUAAAGCUCUGUUAAUCGAGACGCGGUACCGGAAUAGAAAGACACGGCUAACUACGUGCCAGCAGCCGCGGUAAUAC
rnacentral:rRNA from 1 species